UUUAUACUCCCUCCGAUCCAUAUUAAUUGUCUCAAAUUUGCUCAAAUAUGGAUGUAUCUAUGCUUAAAAAGCGUCUAGAUACAUGUAAUAUUUUGACAAUUAAUAUGGAUCGGAGGGAGUACAUA
rnacentral:pre_miRNA from 1 species